UAAUAAAAAAUAUAUAUUUUUAAACAGAGAGGAACCGAAGAUGCUAGUUUAAACCGAAGAUAAGACACAAAAUGCUAGAGUAACUCAGCGGGUCAGGCAGCAUCUGUGGGGAACAUGGAUAGGUGACGUUUCACAGAGUGCUGGAGUAACUCAGCGGGUCAGGCAGCAUCUUUGGAGAACAUGGAUAGGUGACGUUUCACAGAGUGCUGGAGUAACUCAGCGGGUCAGGCAGCAUCUGUGGAGAAAAUGGAUAGGUGACGUUUCACAGAGUGCUGGAGUAACUCAGCGGGUGCAGCAGCAUCUAUGGAGCUAAGGAAAUAGGUAACGUUUCCAGAAGGGUUUCGGCCCGAAACGUUGCCUAUUUCCUUAGCUCCAUAGAUGCUGCUGCACCAUAACUCAGUGGGUCAGGCAGCAUCUGUGGAGAACAUGGAUAGGUGACGUUUCACAGAGUGCUGGAGUAACUCAGCGGGUCAGGCAGCAUCUGUGGAGAACAUGGAUAGGUGACGUUUCUCAGAGUGCUGGAGUAACUCAGUGGGUCAGGCAGCAUCUGUGGAGAACAUGGAUAGGUGACGUUUCACAGAGUGCUGGAGUAACUCAGCGGGACAGGCAGCAGCGCUGGAGGGAAGGAAUGGGUGGACGUUCCGGGUCAAGGCCCUUCUUCCAGCCGGGCUAUCUCGUCGCGGACACUGGGGCCUGCUGCUGUUUGCGAAUCUUGUUGAACAGCUCCAUGUACUGGAUGGCGGUGUCCGUGGGGGUGUAGAUGCCGUCGUGCUUUGUGGAGAACA